AGUGAACGCUGGCGGUAGGCCUAACACAUGCAAGUCGAACGGCAGCACAGUAAGAGCUUGCUCUUACGGGUGGCGAGUGGCGGACGGGUGAGGAAUACAUCGGAAUCUACUUUUUCGUGGGGGAUAACGUAGGGAAACUUACGCUAAUACCGCAUACGACCUACGGGUGAAAGCAGGGGAUCUUCGGACCUUGCGCGAUUGAAUGAGCCGAUGUCGGAUUAGCUAGUUGGCGGGGUAAAGGCCCACCAAGGCGACGAUCCGUAGCUGGUCUGAGAGGAUGAUCAGCCACACUGGAACUGGGACACGGUCCAGACUCCUACGGGAGGCAGCAGUGGGGAAUAUUGGACAAUGGGCGCAAGCCUGAUCCAGCCAUACCGCGUGGGUGAAGAAGGCCUUCGGGUUGUAAAGCCCUUUUGUUGGGAAAGAAAAGCAGCAGGCUAAUACCCCGCUGUUCUGACGGUACCCAAAGAAUAAGCACCGGCUAACUUCGUG
rnacentral:rRNA from 1 species